rnacentral:lncRNA from 1 species
UGAAGAGUGCCAGCAAGGCCCCACCGCUGCCGCGGAAGAUCAGCCCCACGGUGUACGAGACGUUCCUGGAGCAGAGCGACAUCGCAAGCGGAGGGAAGGCACCAGCAUUGCCGACACUGGAUGGAAAGAAGGGGCUGAAGUCACCCCCUCCUCCGCCACCAAAGUCCAAAUGGGUGUCACAGCUCUGACGCGAUGCCCACCCGUAGCUGCACCGUCCACUCGGGACCAGCCUUGCCCGUGAGGACGGGAAAGCCCGUGGCCCCCCUGCUCCCAGCUGUCUCCUAGACAGACUCCUGCUCUCAUCCUUCCUUGCUGGACAAUCCCUCUCACAGUUCUCUCGUAGCAUCCACGUCAGGAGCAUCCCACGUGGCCAAGGCUGCCGGACUCCCUGCGUGCCCAGGGCUGCAGGGCAGAUGCAGGGCAUCACCAGCCCACAUCCAGCCAGGUCUGGCGAUUGCCACCCUCCACCGUCUCCGAGGGUGCGCAAGCCCCGCAGCGGGCAGCACGGGGACCCACCUUCCUGCCCAGGGACACCUCCCCUGCCCCUGCGCUCUGCGUCAGCCCCCGGGCCAGGCUUUCCUUCCCGCUAACCCAAGCCAGCUACGCUUCACCAGUGCCAGGGCUUCUCCCCCCCCAAACUGCACUGAGCUCUCAGCCCCUCUGGUGGUGCAGCUACACCGCGGCGGAGAGGUCUUCCCUCCGCCCUGAGCUGCCUGCAGACCAUCCCAGGAGCAGGGCAACGAGACGAGCUCCCUGCCACCACGUGCCAGACUCUUCCGCCCCUGCUGCUCUCCACCCCAAGGGAACCUCCCUUCCCUUGGAUGCCUACCCCAUCCUGCAGCAAGAGCAAGCAUGUCUGGCCAGGACGCCAGGCUGCACAGGCUCCAGCCCCACCGGUGCCAGGCUGAUGCUGCUGCCUCCAUCAGCCAUGCCAGGCUCCAGCGAUGCCACAGUGAUUCUCUGUGCCCCGGCCUCCCUGUUGCAGCAGGCUGCGACCACGCGCCUACCAAUAAAGGACUAACUCAGCUGGGUACCCUGCAGGGGGCUGACAGCCCUGUAUGCCCCCAGCGCUCACCCAUGCGCGCGCCCAGCACCCCAGGGGCCUUUCCGAGGCCAGCCGCCAUCCAGCACCGGAUCGCGCUCCAAAGAGCGGGGCCUUGCUCUCCCACAGCCUGGAGCCCCCUCGGCAGGGAAAGCCAUGGCAGCUUGGCGCCACCGGGGAGCACGCUCUCCCCCAGGCCGGCAGUGCCCGGGCUCUCGCAAAGCGACUGUCGGCACACUGCUCUGCCUCCAGAGCUGGCACAGAGUUAUUUAUUUACACGCGCUGUUGCAGGCUCAGGAGCUGUAUUUACAGUCUUCCGUAGUAAGCAGGAGGACCCUGCACCCGCAGCCAAGGGAUGGAGAGGGCAGGGGCUGCCUGCAGCAGGGAGCCGCCAUCAAUGGGUUUCUGGCUACAGGAGAGGGAAAGGAUCGGCUCCCUAGGCCAGAGCGAGGGAAGGGACAAGGGGAGACGGCGCCUUGCGCCGCAAACAUGAAGUCUGGGACCAGAUGGGCUGUGCUGGUGCCUGGACUCCCUCCACACGCCGACUGGAGGAGCAGGGGAGUGGAGCCACCUGUCUGUCGCUGCGGCUAGCUCUUCACAGCGGGUUUUCCGAGGAGGCUGCCAGCCGCUUCCCAAUGUAGAUCCUGGAUUGGAGAGACAGACUGUAAGGCGCCUGGGAGGACAGCUAAUGCGGGUUCAGCGAGUCAGUGGUGAGAGGCAGAGGACAGCAGCCGCAAAGGAGACACACGGUUGCAGGGAGAAGUGGUACAAGACCGAAGGGUGAACAGUCCAACUGCAGGAGAGCUCCUCCGCAUCCCAACUUCCCGUGGGAACGGUCCCCUGGGUCAGGACAGCCAGAGGCUGCCGCAUGACCUCAGAGAGCGCAGACACCCAGAAGAGCUGGGCUGCGCUCCGCCUGCACCCUCAGGGGUCAGUUCUGGCCAACGCCGCUCGACAGCACAAAUCAGACCCAUGGGAAACUCACCCCAGCCCCAGGGUCAGCAGAUGGCUGAGCAGCAGUGAGGGGAUGAAGAGCAGCAGCACCUCUGAACUGAAGAGUCUCUUCUUCCUCCCCACCGCACCACCCUGCAGGCUCCACAGGGCCGGCUGGGGGGAGCACACAAAGGCAAAUUCCCUAGGAAAAGCACACCGUUAGAGGGGGCACAAGAGAAAGGGGCAGAACAAGGCAGGGCGACGAGGAGACAGCACUGGGGUAGACAGCAAACGGGGCAGGGGGACAGCUGGACCUGUUGAUGGGGGACAGAAGCCUUACUUUGGAGACCGACGCUCAUGGCGGCGGGUGCGGGCCCAGGCGAGGGAUGCCGGCGAGCGCCUCUCCCUCCGCUCGACCUCCUCCGGCGUGUCCCACUACAACGAGAGCAGGCGCGGGGCAGGGCAGGAGUGCGGGCCCCAUGGGGUGCGGGCGG